CAUGGCUGCUGGUAGACC
rnacentral:misc_RNA from 1 species